UGUUCAAACAUCAAGAUCUCUUGGAACCUUUGGCCAUUUGAUGUGUUUUCAAAAAGCUUACAUAACUCCUUUUAGCUCCACUUUUCUCUAAUUUUUUCCUUCUCUAAAAAGAGUCCCACCACUCUAUUCCAAGCCUUGAGAAUAGCUAGGAAGAUCUCUUGGUGGUCCUUCAUCGGAGCUAUUUGAAGAUUUUUUAAAAGCUACAAAGGAAACCUAGUUACUUGGGUUUUGGAUGUAUCAUCGUCACGGGCUGGAUGUAAGGAGAAAAGACAGUCGGCCUGUUACUGAACCUCAUUGACUGGGCAUGGGGCCCGUCCUUUGGGACGCCCGACAAUAGGUGGCAGACCACUAGUCGACAGCCGAGACCAAGUCGGCCGGUGUUGGGUCUUGGUUGCCAAGCCUGUGCCACCACUCAUUUGUUAGGCUUCUGAGUUCGGGCUUUCAUUCUUUCUUCUAAUUUUGGCCUAUCUGGAACUUCUCCUUUACUCAUGGGCUUCCCCUUAAGUGGGUUCGUAGCUUGCUUGUCGGGUUUAGCUUUAAUUAUUUCUCCCAUAACAGUUGUCCUCACUCUCUAAGUAGAGGUUUUGUUUACAAUGGGUCUUCUGCUUUGAGAGUAUUUGUUGUAUAUGUUGCUUGGUUUACUUUGUCAACUAUGUUGCUUGGUUUACUUUGUCAACUAUGUUGGUUUACUUUGUCAACUAUGUUGCUUACGGACCAAUCGUUCUUUUGAUCCAUCAUUACUUUUCAAAAAGACUACGUUAGUCUUAUAGAUCGA